GUACUGCUUACUUUAGCAACACAUAUACUAAAACUGGGAGGAUACAGAAAACAUCAACAUGGCCCAUAUGCAAGGAUGACACAAUAAAGAAAUCCUUUUUUUUUUU
rfam:Chlorocebus sabaeus isolate 1994-021 chromosome 5, whole genome shotgun sequence.